AACGAACGCUGGCGGCGUGCUUAACACAUGCAAGUCGAACGCGAAAGCGGCUUCGGUCGCAAGUAGAGUGGCGCACGGGUGAGUAACGCGUAGAUAACCUGCCUUCAUGUCCGGGAUAACACGCCGAAAGGGGUACUAAUACCGGAUACCCUCGCAUUUCACAAGUAAGGCAAGGAAAGGUGGCCUCUGACUCAAGCUACUGCAUGAAGAGGGGUCUGCGUACCAUUAGCUAGUAGGUGGGGUAAUGGCCUACCUAGGCAACGAUGGUUAGCGGGUCUGAGAGGAUGAUCCGCCACACUGGCACUGGAAUACGGGCCAGACUCC
rnacentral:rRNA from 1 species